AAAAAUGCCAAACGUUAGCGUUAUCCGUUAAGUUAACGAACCCCAAAAAAGGUCCGUUAACGGACUUUUCACGUUAUCCGUUAUCGUUAACGAAACAUCACUAGUAGCCAGUUCUCACUGAAGUUCGUCUGCCACCACUCACCAGCAUUGGCAGCAUUUUUUUGCAAACGUGCAAAGUUUCAAUCAUGAGAUGGUUUGAUUGUAGUGAGCAUUUGUCUAAUGAGUUCACGCAAAAGUUUGCUUUUUUUUUUCUUCUCGAUUGCCUCACGAAAGCAGUCAAAUCAAGGAAAUGUUUAUAUUCAAUGGGCCCAGAUCACAUCAAGGCAUGGAUGGAUGGUUUCACCCAUAUUGGACUUUUCAAUCUUUGUUUGCUCAAACAAAAAAAGGGCUUCUAAAAGAUUUUGUUCUGUGUGUUUUUAUUAUGUUAAUAACCCCCAGCACUUAGUUCGAAUGCAGCAAGUCUAAGCUUUUCAAGUUCAGUGUGACCGUUGCAGUUACCUCUGCUAACAAAGAAUCCAAUGAUAUGUACAUAGAACAAUUACUUAAUAGAGUGAACUCAAGCAAUCAGUGACACAACACCCACCUACGUGAACUGCCAGACACAAUAUUUGCAUAGAAUAAGAACAAACUCUAAUCUCCUGUCGACUUCAGUCUACAUGGGGAUUGGCAUGGAUUACAGUACCACAUCUUCUAUCACCUAUCUCUUAUAAUGUGAACAGCAAGAUUAUUUUACUCUUGAAUGUUUGGGUCACGAAUGACAUGGAAGGUAAUGCUGGUUCAUUACAAAUGGCAUCUUUGCCAAAAAUAUUGACAUCCGGGAAUAAAUUGGCUUUGGUGAUGAAACUCUUGCCAUAAGGAAAGUAAUACAUGACACUACUUGAGCCCCCAACACAUGAACUGUGCUGCAGUUUUAACCAAGAUGGAAUUUGAAAAGCCCUUUUAUCACGAGCUCUACUAUCUGAGGCAGUUGACUAACGGUACAGUGACAAACGAAUGCAUAAGGUCAAAAUUUGUGGGAAUUCGAAGAACUGGAGUAGGUGAAGGGAGUCCUGAAGAAAUCAAAUGCCGCGUCAUUUUCAUCGUUCACGCCGAUCCGCGUCCAGGGCUUUUCAUUUGGUGACAGUUGGGAUUAUUGUUUCGUCGACGAAGACGUUCACAACGGACCAGCACAAAAUCUCGCUGAGAGAGUUGGUUCACUCGCCUACUGACCAACCUUUGUUGAUCUUUAUCGAAAAAUAUCGAUUGAUUUUUUGAAAAGUCAUGAAUGCUCGAAAUGCUCGUUCCAGUUUUUCAAACAAGUCUGCUCACGUUUAAUCUUAGAGCAGAUCUACAGUGGUGUGCGAACGGCCUUGGGACUAUAAAGCAAUCAACUCAUGAUUGAAUUAUGGAAAGUGUUUGCAGACAUAACUAAUGAAGAACCAAAUUAACUGAAACGCGGUCAAUGCCGUAAGCGACGCCAGCUUCGAUUCGCCCUCGUACGACGUCUGGCGUAUUUCUUAUAAGCCUUCAACAAAGCCAUGGUGUUAUUUCGUCUAUGCCAACUAUCCUGACCGAUCGAUGUCACUCAACUCAUCCUAUUUCCCUUAUCGAAAUGCCAUUUGGUGUCCGCACUUGCAUGCAACCCUUCAGUCACUUAUUGGCGACUUUUGACAUCCAUCUUGGACCAUAACGGUGGUUUCUUGAUCGUGUCGCUAAAAGCGAAGAUGAAAACGCAUAGGAAAUGAAAGAAGCCUAUUUCUAGAUUUGUUUAUGCUUCGUACAUUUACAUAAUUGUUUUGAAAAAAAAAUUACCGUUUUCGAAGAUGAGUUAUUAUGUGGAUAACAUUUUUGAAAAACCGAAGGGCUUUUUCCUCGAGUGGGGAACAUUUGGGACCGUGCUUAGGGCCGGAUGCGAGCAACUGGAAAUUUUUCACGGAAGCGGCGGCUCAUUUAUCAUUCGCGUCGUUGGCUUCUUCAGAUACCUUCAGUUCUCAAGGAGAAUUCAUCAGCCAUUUUCGUCCAUUGAAGUGACUUCGUCUCUGUAAUCGUGUUGACAACUUGCCUCAAGGCUUCUUUGGCUGGGCUUUAAAAUCGUGAAAUGUGUCUUGCUAUUUGAUACCGAGUAGAACAUCAAACUUUCGUAUUUGCAAGUUUCGACGGUCAAGAGAAUGUUUGAGAAACUCAAUUUAGUUGUCAUUUCGAUUAUUCGGCCAAGAGUUGCUACUGGAAAUCAAGGAAGAAUAUUUGUCCACCAAGCCAAUUUAUACGCAUUGCUUAAGAGCACGUCAACUUGUGAUUCUCCUAAAGAACUUGCUAAAAUUGUAAGAGAAUGUCCUACAAAUAAUUCCACUUUACUGGCCGCCGAUGUAGGGCGUUGCUCAAGUUGCUCUCAUCUGCUGUACUACAGAAGAAGAAGAGAUCCUGGUCUUCCAUUUAAUUGCUCCAAACGCCGAAACAAUCGAAUUACUAUUUCAAGAUCACCAAAAUUUCGAACAAGUGUCCGAGCUCUUCAUCCAACAGACAAGAAAAGCGUAACUUAGACUACUGUGGCCUUUUCACAUGUUGAAUAGCCCAGUGAAGAAUGGACACGAAAGUCACGAGAUUUUCUUCUCCGACCGCAGGUGCAAGGAUUAUGUGUUUGAAACUUAGAAAAGUUUGCAGUAGAAUAUUU